rnacentral:rRNA from 1 species
GAUGAACGCUGGCGGCGUGCCUAAUACAUGCAAGUCGAGCGAACGGACGAGAAGCUUGCUUCUCUGAUGUUAGCGGCGGACGGGUGAGUAACACGUGGAUAACCUACCUAUAAGACUGGGAUAACUUCGGGAAACCGGAGCUAAUACCGGAUAAUAUUUUGAACCGCAUGGUUCAAAAGUGAAAGACGGUCUUGCUGUCACUUAUAGAUGGAUCCGCGCUGCAUUAGCUAGUUGUUAAGGUAACGGCUUACCAAGGCAACGAUGCAUAGCCGACCUGAGAGGGUGAUCGGCCACACUGGAACUGAGACACGGUCCAGACUCCUACGGGAGGCAGCAGUAGGGAAUCUUCCGCAAUGGGCGAAAGCCUGACGGAGCAACGCCGCGUGAGUGAUGAAGGUCUUCGGAUCGUAAAACUCUGUUAUUAGGGAAGAACAUAUGUGUAAGUAACUGUGCACAUCUUGACGGUACCUAAUCAGAAAGCCACGGCUAACUACGUG